UACAAAGGGGGCUAGCGUUGCUCGGAAUUACUGGGCGUAAAGGGCGCGUAGGCGGACAGUUUAGUCAGAGGUGAAAGCCCAGGGCUCAACCUUGGAAUUGCCUUUGAUACUGGCUGUCUUGAGUUCGGGAGAGGUGAGUGGAAUGCCGAGUGUAGAGGUGAAAUUCGUAGAUAUUCGGCGGAACACCAGUGGCGAAGGCGACUCACUGGCCCGAUACUGACGCUGAGGCGCGAAAGCGUGGGGAGCAAACAGG
rnacentral:rRNA from 1 species